rnacentral:lncRNA from 1 species
CUCACAGCUUCAGCCCGUACUGGGGCAGAGACAUGUCCUGGCAUGGGGGAGAAACGGGCCCUUUCCUCUCUGGGGGGCGCUGCCCUAAUCUGGGGCUACGGGUUGGGAUUGAAGAGGUGGUGCUUGGCUGUAGGAUGGAUGCCCCUAGCCCGGAUAAGCUCUUCUGCCGUUAGAAGAGGACUCAAGGGCAGCAUUGGGAGGGGCUGGGAGCCAGGACUCCUGAGUUCUCUCCCUGGCUCUGGGAGGGGAGUGGGGUCUAGUGGUUAGAGCAGGGGGGCUGGGAGCCAAGCUGGGCACAGUGGCUGCAUUGCUGGUGGUGGUGGUAGCCGGUGACCUCGCUCACCUUCCCUGUUCGUAGGAUCCUCUCCGCCCGCGGCCAUGGAAGAGGAGGAGAAUCCACCUCCCCCGGCUCCAGAGGAUCCAGUGGGGGGCAGUGAGGAGCAGGGGCGGCCGAGCGAUGCCCCCCCGGACAGGGAGCCGCGUCAGCCGGGUGCUCUCUGCACUGGACAAGUCAUCGUGCUGAAGGCCUUGCAGCAGGUGGUGAGCGGCAGCUUCCAGAGCGAGUGGCCGGGCCGGGCUGGCGAGAAAGGUACGGACCAGGACACAGCGGGGUGGGGGCCCGGGGACAACCAACCUCGCAGCCGGGGAUCGGGUCCGGCCCUGAAUCUGGGACACCCAGCCUCUGCCCCCUUUGUGAGCCAGACCUGACGGCUUCCCCAUCUGCACCCCCGGGGUAUGGGACAGGGGCACCCCCGGCCAUGGGCCCGAGAGCAGCGGGGCCGACCCUGUGUCCCUGUUGCAGAUGCGGAGAGGAAGAAGAUGAGCCGGAAGAAAUGGUGCCGGAACCCCCGGGCGGUUGGAUCUGGCAGUGGCAAGGGGGGCACUGGGGACCCCAUGGGCACAUGUGACCGGAGCAGCACCGUCCCCGAGGCCCUGGGCCUGUUCUCCGGCCUGGCGGGGGCCCUGCAGUUCCUGCAGAGGUCGUGUGCCGCCUCCAUGCAGACCCGGCUCCUCCUGGGAGACGAGGGGCUCCUGGGGCCCCCGGGCAUCUGCGGGGACACGGAGCCGGACGAGGUGGAGCUGGUGGCCGAGGUGCGGCUGGGGGACGUGGCUGCUGCGUCCGGCAUCUUCAGGAGAGAGCGGGCCUGGAGAGUGCACAAAUCAGGUAGGGACGGGGGUGGGGAGGACAGGCCAUGGGGCCUGUCCCCUCUAGGGGG